UUUAUCUACACCCGUAUCGCCAGGGAACUACGAGCCAAGCUUAAAACCCAAAGGACUUGACGGUACCCCACAUCCACCUAGAGGAGCCUGUCCUGCAAUCGAUAAUCCCCGCUUAACCUCACCAUUUUUAGCCUAUCAACCUGUAUACCUCCGUCGUCAGCUUACCUCGUGAGCGAACUCCAGUGAGCUUAAUGUCUUAAACAAAACACGUCAAUACGUCAGGUCAAGGUGCAGUUAAUAAAAUGGAAUUAGAUGGGCUACACUCUCUAACAUAGAGAACACGAAAAACUAUUUAUGAAACCUAGUUAGAAGGCGGAUUUAGUAGUAAAAAGAAAUCAGAGAGUUCUUUUUAACAUGGCACUGGGGUGCGUACACACCGCCCGUCACCCUCUUCAAAGCUAAAUAAUAGUAUUUAACAUAUAACAGCAAACCAGAAGAGGCAAGUCGUAACAUGGUAAGUAUACCGGAAGGUGUGCUUGGAAACAAAAUGUAGCUUAAACAAAGCAUCUUGCUUACACCAAGAAAAUACCUGUGAGACCCAGAUCAUUUUGAGCCAAAAACUUAGCCCCACCUUAUCCUAUGAACUACUUAAAACUAGUCCUAAGAACCAAAACAUUUUUUUGCUUUAGUAAAGGAGAUUGAAAAACCAAAAGGAGCUAUACUAAAAGUACCGUAAGGGAAAAGUGAAAUAAAAGUGAAAUAAAU
rnacentral:rRNA from 1 species